AAGGUCUUGUUAUUCUAUCCUCCUGAUUUAACCUUCUCCAGUCAGCUAUCCGUUGUUGUCUCAGCGAAGGGCUUAUCACAUUCACGAGAUAGUAGAGAAAAAAUAAGGAGAUUGAAGCCAGCCAUAUGGAGGAUUGAUGCAUUGCAUGCAGAAGGAAGUUCAUUCCCUCUUUGUUAUGUUUCACGGAUCAAUUAGGCCAUCAUUGCUGGAUAAAGAACCAAGUGGAGUGCUUAUCCGAUCACAUUUGUAUCCAUUCAUCACAGACUUUUUAAAAUGGUACUGCAGCGGAGCAUUCUCCAU